UACGUAGGUGGCAAGCGUUAUCCGGAUUUACUGGGUGUAAAGGGCGUGUAGGCGGGACUGCAAGUCAGAUGUGAAACCCAUGGGCUCAACCCAUGGCCUGCAUUUGAAACUGUAGUUCUUGAGUGAUGGAGAGGCAGGCGGAAUUCCGUGUGUAGCGGUGAAAUGCGUAGGUAUACGGAGGAACACCAGUGGCGAAGGCGGCCUGCUGGACAUUAACUGACGCUGAGGCGCGAAAGCGUGGGGAGCAAACAGG
rnacentral:rRNA from 1 species